rnacentral:rRNA from 1 species
GAUGAACGCUGGCGGCGUGCCUAAUACAUGCAAGUCGAGCGAACAGACGAGGAGCUUGCUCCUUUGACGUUAGCGGCGGACGGGUGAGUAACACGUGGAUAACCUACCUAUAAGACUGGGAUAACUUCGGGAAACGGGAGCUAAUACCGGAUAACAUCUUGAACCGCAUGGUUCAACAGUGAAAGACGGUCUUGCUGUCACUUAUCGAUGGAUCCGGGCCGCUUUGGCUAGUUGGUACGGUAACGGCUUACCAAGGCAACGAUGCGUAGCCGACCUGAGAGGGUGAUAGGCCACCUUGGAACUGGAACGCGGACCAGACUCCUACGGGAGGCACCAGUAGGGAAUGUUCGGCAGUGGGCGAAAGCCUGACGGAACAACGCCGCGUGAGUGAAGAAGGUCUUCGGAUCGUAAAACUCUGUUAUUAGGGAAGAACAAAUGUGUAAGUAACUAUGCACGUCUUGACGGUACCUAAUCAGAAAGCCACGGCUAACUACGUG